UACAGAGGUCCCAAGCGUUGUUCGGAUUCACUGGGCGUAAAGGGUGCGUAGGUGGUGAGGUAAGUCGGAUGUGAAAGCUCGGAGCUCAACUCCGAAAUGGCAUUGGAAACUACCUUGCUCGAGGGUUGGAGGGGGGACUGGAAUGCUUGGUGUAGCAGUGAAAUGCGUAGAUAUCAAGUGGAACACCAGUGGCGAAGGCGAAUCUCUGGACAAUUCCUGACACUGAUGCUCGAAAGCUAGGGGAGCAAACGGG
rnacentral:rRNA from 1 species